UGGGGAAUCUUGCACAAUGGAGGAAACUCUGAUGCAGCGACGCCGUGUGAGCGAUGAAGCCCUUCGGGGUGUAAAGCUCUUUCGACGGGAACGAUAAUGACGGUACCCGGAGAAGAAGCUGCGGCUAACUACGUGCCGGCAGCCGCGGUAAUACGUAGGCAGCAAACGUUGUUCGGAAUUACUGGGCGUAAAGAGUGUGUAGGCGGUUUUGCAAGUUUGGUGUGAAAUCUCCCGGCUUAACUGGGAGGGUGCGCCGAAAACUGCAAGGCUCGAGUACUGGAGAGGAAAGCGGAAUUCCUGGUGUAGCGGUGAAAUGCGUAGAUAUCAGGAGGAACACCGGUGGUGUAGACGGCUUUCUGGACAGUCACUGACGCUGAGACACGAAAGCGUGGGGAGCAAACA
rnacentral:rRNA from 1 species